rnacentral:rRNA from 1 species
UACAGAGGGUGCGAGCGUUAAUCGGAAUUACUGGGCGUAAAGCGCGCGUAGGCGGCUUUGCAAGUCGGGUGUGAAAUCCCCAGGCUUAACCUGGGAACUGCAUUCGAGACUGCAUUGCUAGAGUAUGGGAGAGGGAAGUGGAAUUUCCGGUGUAGCGGUGAAAUGCGCAGAUAUCAGGAGGAACACCGGUGGCGAAGGCGGAUCUCUGGGCCAUUACUGACGCUGAGGAGCGAAAGCGUGGGGAGCGAACAGG